rnacentral:rRNA from 1 species
UAAUUGAAGAGUUUGAUCAUGGCUCAGAUUGAACGCUGGCGGCAGGCCUAACACAUGCAAGUCGAGCGGCAGCGGGAAGUAGCUUGCUACUUUGCCGGCGAGCGGCGGACGGGUGAGUAAUGUCUGGGAAACUGCCUGAUGGAGGGGGAUAACUACUGGAAACGGUAGCUAAUACCGCAUGACCUCGAAAGAGCAAAGUGGGGGAUCUUCGGACCUCACGCCAUCGGAUGUGCCCAGAUGGGAUUAGCUAGUAGGUGAGGUAAUGGCUCACCUAGGCGACGAUCCCUAGCUGGUCUGAGAGGAUGACCAGCCACACUGGAACUGAGACACGGUCCAGACUCCUACGGGAGGCAGCAGUGGGGAAUAUUGCACAAUGGGCGCAAGCCUGAUGCAGCCAUGCCGCGUGUGUGAAGAAGGCCUUAGGGUUGUAAAGCACUUUCAGCGAGGAGGAAGGCAUCAUACUUAAUACGUGUGGUGAUUGACGUUACUCGCAGAAGAAGCACCGGCUAACUCCGUGCCAGCAGCCGCGGUAAUACGGAGGGUGCAAGCGUUAAUCGGAAUUACUGGGCGUAAAGCGCACGCAGGCGGUUUGUUAAGUCAGA